rnacentral:lncRNA from 1 species
AAAUGUAAAAGAAGAACAGGUUGUUCCCUCCAAGUAUCUGGAAAAUUAGACACGGACUGUCGCAAAGGACUGGUUUACACCCUUCGGAUAAAUUUGUCCUUGUUUGGAUGUUAGAACCCUCUUGACCCGCGGCUAUUUCCGCAUUUCGUAAACCGCAAAGUUAGCUAAUCACCCGCUUAUGGGGCUGUACAGAAGAAAGGCACCACAAUUUGACCCCCCCUUCUCGUGAUGAUUUUGCACGGACACUGAAAAAGUUCUGAGAAAAUUCAGUGCUUCUUGAAUCUUGACCAUUUGAAAACGUUUUUAUUUAUGGUCUAGUCAGCAGUCGAGAAUGGUUGUAUUUAUUUUAUGUGAGUGUUCUUAGCAAAAUCUCGGAUAUUUAUGACUAUCGGAUAUUUUAUUGGAUAUUUAUUACUAUUUUAUCUCAUAAAGGAUAUUAGAAUAGCUACUGUUAAAAGGAAAUAUCGCAGCUCAGAAUAGUUUGGUUUGAAAAUUAUGGACACUUUUAGGAAAAAGUUUGUGGACACGAUGCUUUACCUGAUCAGUUCGCAAGUCAUCACAGGUUAAAAAUAAUCGUUUACCAGAUGGAGUUUACCACAUCAGUUUACCGGAUGGAUGAUGCAUUGACAUACAAAAGAAUGCUUCAGAAGAAAAGCAGAAAAAAAAGAAAAAAAGAAAACUAGUCCUGAAGAAAUCUUGAGGCGAAAAGACAGAGUAGUGAUUUCAAUCUAAUUCUGGCGUCUUUUUACUCUUGCAGGAAUUUCGAGUUGGCGACAGUUCUGUUUGGGGCCCGGCUAUUGUAAAAGUUGGAUCUUUCGUCAAAGAGCGGUCUGUCGCCAGAAACAUUCUCUCUUUUCUUUUUUGGCGCUGAAUUGGGUCAACAGCUUCAACGUCUUCUUGGGGACACUGCCAGAUGGCAAUCAAUGAUAGGCAUUAAGUUUUACAACACAAAAGAAUGUGAACAAAAUCAAGAGGAGUAAGAACUCUAUGACUUGUAUAAAUGAAACAACCCACAAGAUUGUGUAAGAAAGAAUUCAACUAUUUUACAUUUUUAAAAAAAUACGAAGAGUUUUGGAAAAUGUUAAAAACAGCAUGAAGAAAAGGCAGAGCUGAAGCUAACUUAAUGAAAAUAUGAAUUAUAUGAAACUGGAAAAUUGAUGGAUGAUAGAGAAUAGGCAAUUUGAUGCAACACCUCAAGUUUUUAUAAGGAGACCUGAAUACUUCUGGUAAAUGAUGACUAAAAUAGAUACACCUUAAGUUAGCAUUUGAAAGGGCGAUAAAAUUUGAAAUGGGCUGACUAAACUUGAAGAAGACAUUUCUAUUAUCUAAAGGUUUAUUAAAGUGCCUGAUACAUGCCUUUGAUGAUAGAAAUACAACUGAUGCACGUAUGGAAUUGAAAAACCAAUUAUACACUUGGACAAUCAAUUGGAAAUAUAGUAAAUAUGGUUAUAUAUGAUCGCGAAGUUUUAAAUUCAAAGGUUCAUCAGUGUAAUAUUUGUCAAUAUCAACUUUCUUAUUAUUUUUACUUAUGAUAACUUGAUUUUUCUUAUGCGAUUACUUUUGAUGUUGAUUUUACUUAUGUGUGAUUAUUUUACUUCUGAUGUAUUAUUAUUAUAUUAUGUAUUAUUUUAUUGUUAUACGUCAUGUUGGGUUAGCAACUAACUUGCCACCAUUUUGUAAAAAAAAGUGUGAGAGUAUUAAUUAAUCUCAUCAAACUCAACUAAAUGGCUAGAAUAAGUUGCGUAAUUGAGGUUAAAAUUUACAUUUUCAAUCUUGGCGUACUAAUCAUGAGUGUUUUUUUUUUAGCUACCUCAUCCUCUCUAGAGAAGGAUGAGGUAGCUAAUAAAACUUAA